GAUACCCGCUGAACUUAAGCAUAUCAAU
rnacentral:rRNA from 1 species